rnacentral:rRNA from 1 species
CCCUUAGACGUUCUGGGCCGCACGCGCGCUACACUGACCAGUGCAACAAGCAUCCGUCCUUGGCCGACAGGCUCGGGCAAUCUUUGAACGCUGGUCGUGAUGGGGAUAGACUUUUGCAAUUUUUGGUCUUCAACGAGGAAUUCCUAGUAAACGCAAGUCAUCAACUUGCAUUGAUUACGUCCCUGCCCUUUGUACACACCGCCCGUCGCACCUACCGAUGGAAUGGUCCGGUGAAGCCUCCGGAUUGGCGCGCACCUCGGUGCCGCCGAGAAGUUGGCUAAACCUUACCAUUUAGAGGAAGGUGAAGUCGUAACA